rnacentral:rRNA from 1 species
GUAGGGUCCGAGCGUUGUCCGGAAUUAUUGGGCGUAAAGGGCUCGUAGGCGGUUGGUCACGUCGGGAGUGAAAACUCAGGGCUCAACCCUGAGCGUGCUUCCGAUACGGGCCGACUAGAGGUAUGCAGGGGAGAACGGAAUUCCUGGUGUAGCGGUGGAAUGCGCAGAUAUCAGGAGGAACACCGGUGGCGAAGGCGGUUCUCUGGGCAUUACCUGACGCUGAGGAGCGAAAGCAUGGGGAGCGAACAGGAUUAGAUACCCUGGUAGUCCAUGCCGUAAACGUUGGGCGCUAGGUGUGGGGUCCUUCCACGGAUUCCGUGCCGCAGCUAACGCAUUAAGCGCCCCGCCUGGGGAGUACGGCCGCAAGGCUAAA